CGUGCACGCUGGCGGUAGGCCUAACACAUGCAAGUCGAACGGCAGCACAGUAAGAGCUUGCUCUUACGGGUGGCGAGUGGCGGACGGGUGAGGAAUACAUCGGAAUCUACUUUUUCGUGGGGGAUAACGUAGGGAAACUUACGCGAAUACCGCAUACGACCUACGGGUGAAAGCAGGGGAUCUUCGGACCUUGCGCGAUUGAAUGAGCCGAUGUCGGAUUAGCUAGUUGGCGGGGUAAAGGCCCACCAAGGCGACGAUCCGUAGCUGGUCUGAGAGGAUGAUUCACUAGCCGGUAACUGAGACUGACUCGCCACGCCGGCGGUAAGCAGCAGUGUGGAAUACUAGACAAUGGGGGCGAGCCUGAUCUUGCGAUACCGCGUAGGUGCAGAAGGCGCUCUGCUUGUUAAGCCAUUUUGUUGUUAGAAAAAUGCAACUGUUUAACACGCCGCUGUACUGACGGUACCCGGAGAAUAAGCACCGGCUAACUUCGUG
rnacentral:rRNA from 1 species